rnacentral:rRNA from 1 species
AUGGUCAUGGAGAUGGCGAGCGCGAGGAGGCGGGCGAGGCAGCUCAGCGGCGACCACGCCGUGCUCUGGAGCGCCUGCGUCCUCCUCUCCGCCGCCUCGCUGCUCCUCGCCGCCACCCUCUCCUCGGGCUUCGGGGCCGCCAGGCUCGCCGGGGAGGUCAGCGUGGUCGUCAGGGCACGCGCCGGCGCCGUCGUCUUGACGACGGACGGAGACGCCGCCGUCGACAACGCCCGCCGGUACUGCGGCCACGUUGAUCACGACGGCAUGUUAACCGACGGCGAGUGGGUGCGCGAGGAAGCGGGCGUGGCCCCCCUGUACGACUCGAGGGAGUGCCCUUUCGUCGACGUGGGGUUCCAGUGCCGGGAGAACGGCCGGCCGGACGACGGGUACGCCAGGUGGAGGUGGCGUCCGAGGCGCUGCGAGCUCCCGAGGUUCGACGCCGAGAAACUGCUGGAGGUGCUCCGGAACCGCCGGCUGGUGUUCGUCGGCGACUCGAUCGGGCGCAACCAGUGGGAGUCGAUGCUCUGCAUGCUCUCCUCCGCCGUCGCCGACGCCGGGGCCUCGGUGCGCGAGGAGCACGGGAGCCCCAUCACCAAGCACAAGGGCUUCCUCUCCUUCCGGUUCCUUCGCCACAACCUCACGGUGGAGCACUACCGGUCGCCGUACCUGGUCCGGCGCGGCGGCCGCCCCCGCCGCGCGCCCAGGCACGUCCGCUCCACGCUCCAGCUCCGCGCUAUGGACUCCAGGGCGCACCUGUGGAAGGGCGCCGACGUGCUCGUCUUCAACUCCGGCCACUGGUGGAACCACGACCGGCUCCAGCAGCUGCAUUGCUACUUCCAGGAAGGCAAGAGGCUGAGGCUGGACAUGAGCGUGGAGGCGGCCUACCAGAGGGCCAUGGACACAGUGCACGAAUGGGUCCAGAAGGAGGUGGACGGCAGCAAGACCCUGGCCGUGUUCAGAACCUACUCGCCGGCGCACAAUAGGGGCACAAAUGGCGGGAGCUGCGGCAAGGAGACGCUGCCGGAGCUGAACAUGACCGGAAUCUCGCUGGGCCGGUGGCCGGGAAUGCUGCAGCCGGCGUUUGGGGGACCGGAAUCGGCCGUGGUGAGGGACCUGCGUGUGAUGAACGUGACGCUGAUGACGGCGCACAGGAGGGACGGCCACCCGGCGGUGUACAAUGUGGAGCCGUCGGCGAGGAUGCUGGUGGGGCAGAGGGAGGACUGCAGCCACUGGUGCCUGCCCGGUGUGCCCGACGCGUGGAACGAGCUCCUCUACGCCAUGGUUCUCGCCAGGCUUUCUUAG